GCAGACACAUUCCAGCCAAUCAGCAGCAGACCCUCCCUCCCAGACCCUCCCACCUCCUGGACAGCUCACUAAGAAUACAGCUUCAAAAUGGAUGCUGUCCAGGAGGUGGGAGGGUCUUGGAGGGAGGGUCUGCUGCUGAUUGGCUGGAAUGUGUCUG